AUAAAUCACUUAAAAAAUGUAUAGUGUUACCUUCUAAAAAUAAAACCUACAUCUACCUCUGAGUUGUGAAGAACGUGUAUUAAGGUUAUAGCAACCACCAAGAAUGUACUUUUUAUGUAGAAAUCCAUGAUUAAACCCAGUCUUCCUGACUAGUGAUUUAGAUCAAUUUGAUUUAAAUCAAAUUCACCCUACUUCUCCCUGAUAAUAGCUAGGGAUAGUUGAAGCUCUGGACAUCUUGGUUGGUUGAUUCUGGACUUUAUUUACAUAUUGCUAUCCUUCAGACAUAUAGGAUGGCUAGGAUUUCAUUUGAAUCAUGUAAAGACUUGUAAAUGCUACACUAUGAUGCAAGUGUACUAUUCCCUUCCAAUAAAAUGGUGCAAAGGAAAACAUGUAUAGACAAUAUUUUGUCCAUAUGCAAUUACACUAAUUCAGUAUAAUACAGAAAACUAAGGCAGAGACUUACUAAAGUUAGAGAAACCACUUAAACCCUUUAAAUAUAUCAGCAUCUCUUUCUCAGAGACAAAACACAGACAUGCUAUGGACACACGACGCCCUUGUGCUUCUUUCUCCUCCUUCUCUUUCAAAAUGGAGAACUCUUCUGUAGUUAACAAGUUUAAGUGCCCGUCCCUGUGUCAUGCAAAGGUCAGGCUCUCUCCUCAGUUAAAUCCCUCAGUAGAUCAUUCUUGGUUGAUAAGGGAUUCAGAAAAACAUUUUCCAAUAAAUAGCCAUAAUAGACAUUUUCCAAUAGUCUAAGGAAGUCUUUGGAUGUUUGUGUGAUGUUUUCUUGCCCAUAUCUUUUAUAGUUGGUACAUAUCUGAUUGUAAUGUUCAUCCUUCUUAGAAACUUUACAUAUAUUCUUAAGAAAACUUAUUGACCUCUUUACAGAGACAAUCCACUAGUAUCCUGCAUCAUCAUCUAUCUUCCUCAAAGAGAAAGAUCUUAACAAAGUCUUUUAUGACUGAUGGCCAGAACUGCCCACUGUAGCAAACCAGCUAUACUUUCUGUUUGAUUGAAAUGAUAUUGAACAGCGUUUGAAGGAGUGCAACUGUCAGCGAUGAAGACGAAGCUACAGAGAGGUUCCAACCUGGAUCAUGUGGCAGUGAGAAGGAACUGGAGAGGUGGUUGGUCCACCCUGCUCUUUAUCCCCUCAGUCGGAGGCACAAGAACAUAAGAACCGCCAUACUGGGUCAGACCAAACGUCCA